CACAAUUUUGUGAUUAAAAAGUCCAAAGACCUCUGGUAAUCGGUGUUAGUUGUUUGGGUCUUCCUCUCUUUCUCUGUGUUGACUGUUGUGUGAAUUGUGUCAUGGCGGAACGACCAUCACUUUUGAUCUCUCUUUUCCUAUUCCAGAUCUUUCUCUCUUGCAUACAUCCUUCUUUCAGCGAAACACCAAUCUCCGCACAUGACAAUCUAUUGACGCUUUCCGAUCAAGUUGCAGACAUCCACGAUCUCCUCCCUAAAUUCGGUUUCCCGAAAGGUCUCAUCCCGAGCGCCGCCAAAUCCUAUUCUAUUACUUCAGACGGAAACUUUGAAAUUGAGCUCGAUACAACUUGCUACAUCCAAUUCGAUCAGCUUGUCUAUUUCGAAAAAAAGAUAAAAGGAAAACUCAGCUACGGCUCUGUUACAGAUGUUAUUGGAAUCCAAACAAAAAAACUCUUCUUAUGGAUCUCUGUUACAGGGAUUGAUGUCGAUUUCAAGUCCAAUUUGCUGGAAUUUCAUGCUGGGUUUCUCUCGGAGAAGCUUCCAGCAACGCAGUUUGAGGUAAUUCGGGAUUGCCAGAAAAAAACAGGCCAGGAAUCCCUAAUUAACUCUAUCUAAGAUGCAAGCAAAGCAACAGGCUCAUUGAAUGGUAACAGCUCUCAACAUGUAUCUACUUUCAAAUUUCAGUAUGCUGAAAUAUGUUUGGUUUCAAUUUCAAAUAAAAUUGGUAUCUUUUAUUUCUCUAAAUCAGCAACUACUUGUAUAUGAAAAGCUACUUCAACUACUUGUAUAUAAACUUUCCAUAUACAAUCUCUACAUUAUAUACUUGUAAAUUCA